rnacentral:rRNA from 1 species
CAACUUUCAACAAUGGAUCUCUUGGCUCUGGCAUCGAUGAAAAACGCAGCGAAAUGCGAUAAGUAGUGUGAAUUGCAAAAUUCAGUGAAUCAUCGAAUCUUUGAACGCACAUUGCGCCCUUUGGUAUUCCAUUGGGCAUGCCUGUUCGAGCGUCAUUU